rnacentral:rRNA from 1 species
GUCCACGCCGUAAACGUUGGGCACUAGGUGUGGGGCUCUAUCGACGGGCUCUGUGCCGUAGCUAACGCAUUAAGUGCCCUGCCUGGGGAGUACGGCCGCAAGGCUAAAACUCAAAGGAAUUGACGGGGCCCGCACAAGCGGCGGAGCAUGUGGCUUAAUUCGAUGCAACGCGAAGAACCUUACCUGGGUUGAACUAUGCAGGAAAAGCCGUAGAGAUACGGUGUCCUUCGGGGCCUGUGAUAGGUGGUGCAUGGCUGUCGU